rnacentral:rRNA from 1 species
AUGGCCAUCUACUGCAAACCCCCCAUGACGCAGCCCUAUUUUUGGCCUGCCACAAAGAUCUUCAAGAAACUGCUAAAACCCUACCACCCCACACCCAAUCCAUCGAGCAACGGAGCUGCUGGCAACGGCGACGUACCGUACAGGGGCGGCGAGGCAUCAUCACGACGACGCGAAGGAGCAAGAGGCACAUCACGCAGGCCCCUCCCGAACGGCGCGGACGGCGGCGGCUCAGCGUCCGACGACGUGCUCAUGGAGCCGUCGUCGACGCCGACAAGCAAACGCACUACCUCGGCAGCGACGACGAGCAGAGAGGGUGCGGGAGGGAGGAGACAGGUGCGGGAGGGAGCGACCGGAUGCGGUCCGACCAGGGAAAAGACGAUCUGGAGUAAUAACAAUUUACUUCCACCACAGCAAUCCCGUGCGAUUUCCCAUUCUACCCCUCCGACCGACACGUUUCCCUCUUUCUCGCCCGACGCCACCGACCACUCUCUCCCCACUCACCCCCGCUCUCUCUCCCUCGCGUGCGACGCCCCCGCUUGCCUCUCUCUCGCGCGCGACGCCGGCCACCAGGCGCCUCUCUCUCUCUCGCGCGACGCCGCUCUCUCCCCGUUGAUGCUCCCUCUCUCUCCCUCUCGCCGGCGUCUUGCUCCGCAUCGCCGCUCACCGCUCCCCACCACACAAAGCUGCCAUUUUUAUUUGUCGGCGACGGCUGCUGGGCGAGGAGGAGCUGGAUCCACAUGCGCUGCCCCACCGGCGCCGCUGCCGGUGGUGGGGCACCAGUUCUGCGCGCCCUACGUGGUGCCGCUGACGGUGACCAAGAAGGCGCUCAGCCUCUCCGACGGCGACUUCGCCAUCACCGAUGCCAACGGCGCCGUCGUGCUCAAGGUCAAGGGCGCCAUCUUCAGCAUCCGGAGCUGCCGCACCAUCCACGACGGCGCUGGGAUGCCCCUCCUAACCAUGCAAGAAAAGGUCCCUUCUCCACUACAGCUUUGCUCCUUUGUCUGUCUGUCCAUCUCCCCUGGCCUGGCGCUGCUGAAAUUUCCUCGAUCCAUAGACAUGUCUGCAAGUUCUUUGCGGAAUAGGAUCGUUGACCCGUAG